AACUGUUUAAUAAUGUUUAUAUUAGCCAUACAAAUGUUGAUUGUAUAAUACCUGAAGAUUUUUCUAGUUCAAAAAGUUUCUGUGACUGCAGAAGAGGUUUUUCAAGAGAACAAAUCCAAUUUUUACACUGGAAACCCAUAUUGUAGGUGGAGAAAGUGUUGGCUGGCCUGAGAAACAGUUCUGAAGAUGGACAGAAUUAUACACCAGAUGUACAGCUUUAAGAGUGUGAGGACCUUCUGCCUCAUUCACAUUGGUUCCAUUUUGAGAGUCCUCUCUUGGAUGUCAUCUCUGCUCAGGUGAAUAACUUCCUUGUCCCUCCCUCUGCUCUUCAAGUUCCCGUCUGUAUGUCAUGGAAUUCCAGAAAGUCAGAGUUGGAAUGGCCACUGGAAACAUCUAUACUAGGGGUUCUCUAUGUUGGCUGCAUAGGAAAAUCUCCUGGGGAGCUAUUAAUGUUAUCUAGGCCUGGAUAUUUUUCUUUUUUUCAGAGUACUCCUUUGUAGUGUUUGACUUUUUAUCAUAAAUGUAGUUUUAACAAUAAACAUAAUUAAAUCAGUAAAAAGAUAAUAAUGAUGUGCACAUUGAAGUUUGUACAUAAAAUUAGUUCUCCUUGGCUUCCUGGAUAAGGAGUGAGGAUGGAUGGGACAGGUUAAAGACAGGUCUACUAUUAAACAAAAAAACAAACAAAAAAAC